CUCCUUGUAACCCUUGGGGCAAGCGGAGCAGGCAAAGCCGCCGCCGAGGCUUGGGCGCGAAUCGCAUGUGGAGC
rnacentral:SRP_RNA from 13 species